ACGGCAAAAUUAACAUUCCCGACCAAAUGGGCCGAAGCUAAGAAUGACUUCAGAACUGCUAUGACUGCUUCCCCAUUCCAAUGGUUGGCUGGGACCAGCUCCAAGUGCCCUUUGACUGCUCACCAUACCUUUCUGUCUUUAUCAGUAAAUCAAGGAUCAGCCUUUUCCCAUUACCUACUUGACCAGCUACUCCCAUUAUUUGAUUCUGUUUCUCAUUCUAGGCUAGCUCUGUUGAUGGACUGAAGCCUUAUCUAAGAUGAAGUCUAUAGAUGCUUCCUGGUCACAGCAUAGGGUUGCUCAAGUUGUUAAGGUCUCUCUUGCUGCCUGUGACUUACAUCAGCUAGCCUACUCUUCCCUGCCCUGUGGGGCUUCUUGGUUUGGGAUGACUUGCCUGGACCUUGGACCUCCCACUUCACUCCACCCUUCAGCAUUUGAGUCUUGCUUCCCAUGAUACUUCUAAUCUCUUAUCUCUUGCCUGCGCUGGCCUCCAAUAUCCUCAAUGCCUUCAGUCUGGCUUGUCUGCCUAGUUUCUGAAGCGUUGCUAUGAUGUGCUGUGUCAUCCCUGCAUGUACUCUGUGUGCAGACUCCUAUUCUUCAGCACUGUCUGACUACAGGGGUCAAGGUCUUUCUCGGAUCAAGUACGUCCCACUUGCAUGGGAUUUCAACAAGUUGUCAGUCUGCUGUCGCUCCAUAUUGCCUGCAAACCUGAAGAUGGACAGAUUCCUUUAGGUCAUCACUGCUCUACAGUGCCUUCAAGCAGGGACCUCCAAGCCAUGCCUGAGAAAGAGCGACUUUUCAUUUGCCUAUUGCUCUCCACAGGCAAGAGGAUGACAGGAUCAGAGACGUGGAGUGGGAAGGGAAUGCCCUCAUUCUCCAGGCUCCCCAAAACACCACUUACUUCCCACCACUGAGACUCAGGGUCGCCUCUCAACAAUUCGAUCACAUCGCCUGUUU